CCUACGGGAGGCUGCAGUGGGGAAUAUUGGACAAUGGGGGCAACCCUGAUCCAGCCAUGCCGCGUGUGUGAAGAAGGCCCUCGGGUUGUAAAGCACUUUCAGUGAGGAAGAACGCCUGGUGGUUAAUACCCAUCAGGAAAGACAUCACUCACAGAAGAAGCACCGGCUAACUCCGUGCCAGCAGCCGCGGUAAUACGGAGGGUGCGAGCGUUAAUCGGAUUUACUGGGCGUAAAGCGCGCGUAGGUGGCUUGAUAAGCCGGUUGUGAAAGCCCCGGGCUCAACCUGGGAACGGCAUCCGGAACUGUCAAGCUAGAGUGCAGGAGAGGAAGGUAGAAUUCCCGGUGUAGCGGUGAAAUGCGUAGAGAUCGGGAGGAAUACCAGUGGCGAAGGCGGCCUUCUGGACUGACACUGACACUGAGGUGCGAAAGCGUGGGUAGCAAACAGGAUUAGAUACCCGGGUAGUC
rnacentral:rRNA from 1 species